GUUGAUUCUGCCGGAGGUUACUGCUAUCGAGGUUCGACUAAGCCAUGCGAGUUGAAUGCAGCAAUACAUGGCGAACUGCUCAGUAACACGUGGACAACCUGCCCUUAGGUUGGGUAUAAACCCGGGAAACUGGGUAUAAUACCCGAUAGGUCUCGAUUGCUGGAAUGCAUCGAGAUUUAAAGCUCCGGCGCCUAAGGAUGGGUCUGCGGCCUAUCAGGUAGUAGUGGGUGUAGCGUACCUACUAGCCUACGACGGGUACGGGUUGUGAGAGCAAGAGCCCGGAGAUGGAUUCUGAGACACGAAUCCAGGCCCUACGGGGUGCAGCAGGCGCGAAAACUUUACAAUGCUGGCAACAGCGAUAAGGGGACCUCGAGUGCCAGGUUACAAAUCUGGCUGUCGUGAUGCCUAAAAAGCAUUGCAUAGCAAGGGCCGGGCAAGACCGGUGCCAGCCGCCGCGGUAACACCGGCGGCUCGAGUGGUAACCGUUAUUAUUGGGUCUAAAGGGUCUGUAGCCGGCCGGAUAAGUCUCUUGGGAAAUCUGGCAGCUUAACUGUCAGGCUUUCAGGAGAUACUGUCUGGCUCGAGGCCGGGAGAGGUGAGAGGUACUUCAGGGGUAGGGGUGAAAUCUUGUAAUCCUUGAAGGACCACCAGUGGCGAAGGCGUCUCACCAGAACGGACCUGACGGCAAGGGACGAAAGCUAGGGGCACGAACCGGAUUAGAUACCCGGGUAGUCCUAGCCGUAAACGAUACUCGCUAGGUGUCGGCCACGGUGCGACCGUUGUCGGUGCCGUAGGGAAGCCGUGAAGCGAGCCACCUGGGAAGUACGGCCGCAAGGCUGAAACUUAAAGGAAUUGGCGGGGGAGCACCACAACGG
rnacentral:rRNA from 1 species